CUCAUGCUGGAUGCGCGCGCUCCUUGGGCGCAACUGCCCAGCGCAAAACGGGCCCCGAAAGCAGGUGAGUGGAGGACACUUCAAUCUAAAGUGAUCUUAAAGGAGGAGUAGUAGGAUUUGAAGAUGAAGAAAGAAGAGGGGAGGUAAAUUACUUUCCAUCACUUCAAUUUCAACCCAUCAGAUAAAACCUCUCUUUAGUAAACCUGCAUGUGGGUGGAGCUGUAACAGCAAUUAAGGACAGUGUGACUCUGUUCUUCUGACUUUGGGAAAACCAGUUUGGCUGGAACAAAAAGCUGAUAGAGAAGACUAAUGGAAGAUAAGGUUGAAAAGCUCUCUUUCAGUUCUCUACAUCUGGG
rnacentral:lncRNA from 1 species